CUGUAGGGGGCUCAGUGGUUAAGAGCACUGACUACUUUUCUAGAGGUCCUGAGUUCAAUUCCCACAACUACAGG
rnacentral:tRNA from 1 species